CAGUAUCUAAAGUGGGCGGGGUGAGAAAAAAUAAUUUGAUUAGAAAAUAUUUUAUAUAAAUUGGAAAAUUUUAAGGAGGUCCAAUAACGGUAUCAAAUAACAAAAAGAUAAAAAUAAUAUUAAAUUCUUCAGAAAGUUGAUUUCAAUAUUUUUUAUAUUUUCAUUGGUUUAAAAAUUUUAGAUAAAAUAAUAUACAUAAAUAUACAUAUGUAAGGGACCCCCUUAAAUGUUUUUUACACACGCACUCUCACAACUUUGUUUCUUCAUAUUCUUAAAUAGUUGAUUCUUACCACACGCACUGAUAUUCUUUUCUAAUAUUAAGAUUCGCACUAAUAAACAGCAUUGCCAGAUUUUUGCAAAUAAAAUUUACAAUAUACAUAUGUAAUUCACCGUUAGUUAAAAUAAAAUAAAAAAGAGAGAAAUCUUGAAAAUAAAAAAUGGAGGCGAAUAUAAUAACAAA